rnacentral:rRNA from 1 species
AAUAGAUACCCAGGUAGUCCACGCUGUAAACGAUGGGUACUAGAUGUUGCAGGAAUUGACCCCUGCAGUGUCGACGCCAACGCAUUAAGUACCCCGCCUGGGAAGUACGGCCGCAAGGUUAAAACUCAAAGGAAUUGACGGGGGCCCGCACAAGCGGUGGAGCAUGUGGUUUAAUUCGAUGCAACGCGAAGAACCUUACCUGGGUUUGACAUCCCCAGACAGCCCUAGAGAUAGGGUUUCCUCUUCGGAGGCUGGGAGACAGGUGCUGCAUGGCUGUCGUCAGCUCGUAUCGUGAGAUGUCGGGUUAAGUCCCUUAACGAGCGCAACCCUUAUCCCUAGUUGCCAUCAUUCAGUUGGGCACUCUAAGGAGACCGCCGGCGUUAAGCCGGAGGAAGGCGGGGAUGACGUCAAGUCCUCAUGGCCUUUAUAUCCAGGGCUACACACGUGCUACAAUGGCGCAUACAGAGGGUAGCCAACCCGUAAGGGGAGCUAAUCUCAGAAAGUGCGUCUCAGUUCGGAUUGAAGUCUGCAACUCGUA